UACGGGGGGGGGUAAGCGUCGUUCGGAAUUACUGGGCGUAAAGGGCUCGUAGGCGGCCAACUAAGUCAGACGUGAAAUCCCUCAGCUUAACCGGGGAACUGCGUCUGAUACUGGAUGGCUUGAGGUUGGGAGAGGGAAGCGGAAUUCCCGGUGUAGUGGUGAAAUGCGUAGAUAUCGGGAGGAACACCAGUGGCGAAGGCGGGUCUCUGGGCCGAUACUGACGCUGAGGAGCGAAAGCGUGGGGAGCGAACAGG
rnacentral:rRNA from 1 species